GGAAGCGUGGCUGAGUGGUUGAAGGCACCGGUCUUGAAAACCGGAGUCGCCGCAAGGCGACCGGAGGUUCGAAUCCUCCCGCUUCCG
rnacentral:tRNA from 1 species